UUUUAAUCUUUUCUGAGAACACAAUCCUCCGAUGAGUGGUGGAUCUGUAAAAGACACUUUGACCCUCAAGACAGAUAGGUUGUAUAAAAACGUUUAUAUUUCAUUUAGGAUAACUCCAAGUUAUUUUACAUGAACCUCAAUAGUAGAUUUAUAAGGCUUUGCGGUAACCAAAUUCAAUAAUACAUGUUAAUUGUCCAUUAAUAUCGUAUUCUUGUAUAAUAUAACCUG
rnacentral:lncRNA from 1 species